CUUUAUGAUGAAGAAGCAUUAUACACAGACCUGUACCGAAAUACACAAUGUGGAAAAACUUUUGUCCAACCGCUGUCUGACA